rfam:Triticum aestivum genome assembly, contig: Triticum_aestivum_CS42_TGACv1_scaffold_654437_T_7AS-0.044303_1AL-0.027905
AAACUACUCCCUCCGUUCCAAAUUAAUCGUCGAAGAAAUGGAUGUAUCUAGAACUAAAAUACAUCUAGAUACAUCCAUACCUGCGACAAGUAAUUCGGAACGGAGGGAGAGGGCG